UCGUAGUACAAUGUUUAACAUGAGGAAGGUCACUAUCCUUGGUACAUACUUGAUUUAAAAAACACUAAAAAUAAAGGCUAGUGGCCAUUGUUUAUCACCUAGGAGGCAUCACUACAUCAUGUACCUGGCUUAGACUUGACAUGAUGAAUAUCGAGAAAAUGAGGAAUGGGGCGCAGUAAAGAAGGAAUUCAAAGAAAUCUAAAAUGAUAAACUACAAGUUUUAUUCAAGGCUUUAUUAUCUUUGAGAAGGGUAUGAAAUUUCAGAUCAAAGAUGAUCAUAAGAUUAUCGAAAAAAUCAUCUGAAAUUAACAUUGUUGCAAUCUACCUUAUGACUCAGCAAGAAAUCCAAGGACAGCACAUUUUGUACAUAAGCAUUUAAAUUAAAGACUUAUAAACAAAUCAGUAAAUAACCCAGCUAAAGUGCACCAUUACCAACCGAUAGGAGUUCAUCUUAAUCUAAAACACAAGCUCUCAAACUAAUGAGUAUUGGCAACGUGCAGAUGCAUCCAUAUUCAAAUGGCAAGUAGGGGGACUGAAUAAACAUAACAGUGGGACUAAUCAUUACAAAAUCCCAAGCAUCACAAAGAUAUCCUUCAUAUCGUUUUAAAUAUCUAAAAUCUUACCCAAACUAUAUUCCAUACAAACUGGAACUCCACCAAAUAUAAUGUCACUCAAAGGUUGAUUGUUUAGAUUACAAAAAUACCCAUGCUCUUGGGCAUUAUUUUUAGCCACGAGCCAUGCAGCACAUAUGCAAUUUGCGAUGUGCAGCAUACGCAAUAGGGUAUGGCGCAUAUGCCGAUGCAUCCCACCAAAGCGCAUAUGAGCCCCUAUACAAUGCGUUUCAGGCUCCAUAGUGCAUUAUACAUCCGAAUAUACCGUGAUACGGGGUAUCCUCAACAAUACAGCCUAAUGACAUCCAUGUGGUAGAAAACCCAUUUCAAUUUUGGCUAAGGAAAUUCCGAGAAAGCUGUAAGCCUAAAUCUUAGGAACCAUACUGGCUAGUCCACCAUAGCUUGUAAUCGACAGCCAAUCCAACCUAAUUCAAACCAGCAGACAGAGAUAAAUAAACCUAGAAAAACCUGAAUUAGACAGGAAAAAUAUAGCUAAAAAUCAAAUGAGUCUGUCACCAAAGGGCUUAGAAGACUUUCCAGCUACAACAUGUAAAGAAACAGGGCUCGCCUGGCCUAGCAACACGAGGCGUGUCGUCAAGCUCAAGGGGUCCAACAACACGAUUCGUAUUGUCGAACCUCAAACUAGAUAUUCAUAUAACAACAUGAACUGCAUCAACAGUCUCAAAGAAUCUAAUAACGCGAAUCUGCAUCAUCAGUCUCAAAGAAUCUGAUAAUGCAUAUCGGUGCUUUUGUGGCCUAAAUCUUUCAAAAAAAAAAUUGCCUUUUGUUGAUCAUAUUUUUAAGUUUUUGGAGCAUUCUGAAACAAUUUUAAGUUGGUUCUAAUUGGAUUUCAAACAAUCAAACCUAAUCUUGACUGACUUAGAAUUUCAAAGACAAACUUAAGAGUCCUGAUCCCCAAGAGACAGCUACCUCAAUUGAAAACCUAUACAAACCCCCCUAUUGAAAACAUAUAUAUAUAUAUAUAUAUUAUGAAUAAAGUUCUUGAGUAGCAUCCAAAUGCGACAAGGAUGCCCUUUCUAUAGUUUGUGUGUGCCAAGAGUACUUGUCCCACUCCAAUCUCUUGUGUGUGCUUGUAGAACUUAGUCCAGGUUCAACUCUAGCAUGGCUCCACACUAUUUGGAUACCACCCUUAUGUAACAAAGCAACAUCCCAAGUUUAAGAAGCACUAUGCCACUAUCAAUCCUAAACCAUCUCAUAGAAUGUAGGAAACCUUCUUCUACAUGAUUAGUAUUUGUUUAAGCUACUAAUGUUUACUCAUAAUCAUAAUGAAGAAGUUUAACUACACCACAGGUGGUCACAGUUAUCCCUAAUCGACCUGUGUACCAGUUAAUUAAUAAUUAUUCUUAUUCUACAUUGCAAAUUAUCCAGCAUAAAUGACAGCAGUUACUGCAUGUCAAUCUUUUUAUAACAUAAACAUUAAUUAAGCUUUAACACUAGAAGUCAGAUGGGUGGGGUGUUUCUGGUCAUCCAAGCAAAUCUCUAGUUAAAUUUAGUUAUGAGAGAACACCAAUACUUGUGUGUCAUAAACCUCGGCAAUGUUUCAUCAUGCUUCCUACAAGUGAAGAUGUUAUCAACACCCGUGACAUAAAAGAUCUGAAAUAAAUUCUCAGAAGAAUUUGAAAGGUCCUUGAAUUUUAUGUUUACUGAAUGCUUGAAGCAUAAUUAAUUUCGCUGUACAA
rnacentral:lncRNA from 1 species